rnacentral:misc_RNA from 1 species
AGUGAAGAUGCAUCUAGGCAUGGGGCAGUCAUCCUGUCUGUGGGAUGAUAGUCUAACCAACAUAAGUAUUGGAGGCCUGCUGUCUGAGGCAUCCUUGCAGGGCAAGUUCAGUAAUUGUGAUCCAAAAUCAGAUGGAAGUAAUGCAGGCUUGCAGCCAUCUCAGUUAAUCUCUGAUUCAUUUGAUGCUUUUAUCAUGGCCCAAGUAAAUCAUUCCCAAGCUCCAAAGC